rnacentral:rRNA from 1 species
UACAGAGGGCGCGAGCGUUGUUCGGAUUCACUGGGCGUAAAGGGUGCGUAGGCGGUCGGGUAAGUCUGAUGUGAAAUCUUCAAGCUCAACUUGGAAACUGCAUCGGAUACUAUUCGGCUAGAGGAAUGGAGGGGAGACUGGAAUACUUGGUGUAGCAGUGAAAUGCGUAGAUAUCAAGUGGAACACCAGUGGCGAAGGCGAGUCUCUGGACAUUUCCUGACGCUGAGGCACGAAAGCCAGGGGAGCAAACGGG